GAUGAACGCUGGCGGCGUGCCUAAUACAUGCAAGUCGAGCGAACAGACGAGGAGCUUGCUCCUCUGACGUUAGCGGCGGACGGGUGAGUAACACGUGGAUAACCUACCUAUAAGACUGGGAUAACUUCGGGAAACCGGAGCUAAUACCGGAUAAUAUAUUGAACCGCAUGGUUCAAUAGUGAAAGACGGUUUUGCUGUCACUUAUAGAUGGAUCCGCGCCGCAUUAGCUAGUUGGUAAGGUAACGGCUUACCAAGGCAACGAUGCGUAGCCGACCUGAGAGGGUGAUCAGCCACAGUGGAACUGAGACACGGGCCAGACUCCUACGGGAGGCAGCAGUAGGGAAUCUUCCGCAAUGGGCGAAAGCCUGACGGAGCAACGCCGCGUGAGUGAUGAAGGUCUUCGGAUCGUAAAACUCUGUUAUUAGGGAAGAACAAAUGUGUAAGUAACUAUGCACGUCUUGACGGUACCUAAUCAGAAAGCCACGGCUAACUACGU
rnacentral:rRNA from 1 species